UACGAAGGGGGCUAGCGUUGCUCGGAAUCACUGGGCGUAAAGCGCACGUAGGCGGAUUGCUAAGUCAGGGGUGAAAUCCUGGAGCUCAACUCCAGAACUGCCUUUGAUACUGGCGACCUUGAGUUCGGGAGAGGUGAGUGGAACUGCGAGUGUAGAGGUGAAAUUCGUAGAUAUUCGCAAGAACACCAGUGGCGAAGGCGGCUCACUGGCCCGAUACUGACGCUGAGGCACGAAAGCGUGGGGAGCAAACAGGG
rnacentral:rRNA from 1 species